UACGGAGGGGGCUAGCGUUGUUCGGAAUUACUGGGCGUAAAGAGCGUGUAGGCGGUCCGGUAAGUCCGCUGUGAAAGUCGGGGGCUCAACCCUCGAAUGCCGGUGGAUACUGCCGGGCUAGAGUCCGGAAGAGGCGAGUGGAACUCCUGGUGUAGCGGUGGAAUGCGCAGAUAUCAGGAAGAACACCAACGGCGAAGGCAGCUCGCUGGGACGGUACUGACGCUGAGACGCGAAAGCGUGGGGAGCGAACAGG
rnacentral:rRNA from 1 species